AUCGCUAAUUGGCCUUUUGGCUAAGAUCAAGUGUAGUAUCUGUUCUUAUCAGUUUAGUAUAUGAUACAACCUCCAUCUGAGGACAAUAUAUUAAAUGGAUUUUUGGAGCACAGAGUUGGAAUAGGAGCUUGCUCUGUCCACUUCACACAUCAACCUGGUAUUGCAGUACCUCUAGGAACGGAGCACCCCCU
rnacentral:snRNA from 1 species